rnacentral:RNase_P_RNA from 1 species
CGAGCCGGCCGGGCAGCCGCGGAGGGCCCCUGGUCCUUCGAGGAAAGUCCGGGCUCCACAGGGCAGGGUGCCAGGUAACGCCUGGGGGGCGCGAGCCCACGGAAAGUGCCACAGAAAACAGACCGCCGAUGGCCGGGUCCGCCCGGCACAGGCAAGGGUGAAAAGGUGCGGCAAGAGCGCACCGCGCGGCUGGUAACAGCCGUGGCAGGGUAAACCCCACCCGGAGCAAGACCAAAUAGGGGGACUGUGCCGUGGCCCGCGGUGUCCCCGGGUAGGUCGCUAGAGGCGUGCGGUGACGCACGUCCCAGAUGAAUGGCUGUCCACGACAGAACCCGGCUUACAGGCCGGCUCACGUU